UUCGUAGGUGGUGCGGCAAGUUGGAAGUGAAAUCUCUGGGCUUAACCCAGAGGCUGCUUUCAAAACUGCCGUGCUCGAGUGCGAGAGAGGUCAGUGGAAUUGCAGGUGUAGCGGUGAAAUGCGUAGAUAUCUGCAGGAACACCCGUGGCGAAGGCGGCUGACUGAAUCGCAACUGACACUGAGGAACGAAAGCUAGGGGAGCAAACA
rnacentral:rRNA from 1 species